ensembl:lncRNA
GUUGGAAGUAAGAAGCAGGAAGCCUGUGUUCCUGUUUAUAGUUGUCAAGAGCUCUAGAGUGAAUCAAGCCAUCCAGCUGAUGUAUCAGUGGAGGCACUGCUUCAGAUACAAGUUAACGGAUGAAACCAAGCUGCCCAAUACGACAGCAAAGAAAGGAAAUUCACCAAUCUUGGCUAAAGACUCAAGCUACCUUCUGUGGAUGGUGAAUGCUGAUAGACAGCAUUACUGCUGGGAAGCAGAACAGUGCUGCCAGGUUCACAGUUUUCCAGUUUCCACACUGGAAAAUGCAGUCAUGGGUGAAAAAUGUAAAGUCACAAGAUCAUCAUUGAUCCUUCAUAGAGAACAGAGCAGGACGAGCAUGCUUCAAUCAGACUCCGUAUAAAGCUUCUAUAUAACAGACCAAAGCCAGAACAAUAGCA